CCUUUAUUGAUUUAUCACUACAUGUAUUUUUUCUGUCAAAUUUUUCAAUCAACAAAUUUAAUUUCUCAUUUGCUUUUGAUUUGAUAUCUCGGAUAAAAUAUCUGCAAGAUCUUAAAUAAUGUUGUUUCUUGCACCAAAAACAAAUAACUUUAGGAGUUAUAUUCUGCCUUUGAUUGUUAACUCUGAAGUUUCUAGUUGAGCAAAUUG